GACGAAGGUGGCGAGCGUUGUUCGGAAUCACUGGGCAUAAAGCGCACGUAGGCGGUGACGUAAGUCGGGUGUGAAUCCCUCGGCCUAACCGAGGAACUGCGCCCGAUACUGCGUUGCUUGAGGACCAGAGGGGUGCAUGGAAUUUCCGGUGGAGCGGUGAAAUGCGUUGAUAUCGGAAGGAACUCCGGCGGCGAAAGCGAUGCACUGGCUGGUUUCUGACGCUGAGGUGCGAAAGCCAGGGGAGGCAAACGGG
rnacentral:rRNA from 1 species